CUCUUUGCGCUUGGGGCAAUGAUGCAGUUAGUGAGGUGAAACCGAGACGCGUCAAUUGCUGGUUGAAACCUAUUUCCAAACUAUUUCUCUCCUUUCACUUUAGAGUUCUGUGCGACUUAGUUUCCGUCUUGUAGUUAUUUUUAGGCUGCAUCUCUCUUC
rnacentral:snRNA from 20 species